rnacentral:rRNA from 1 species
CCCUUAGAUGUUCUGGGCCGCACGCGCGCUACACUGAUGCAUUCAACGAGUUUUACCUUGGCCGAGAGGCCUGGGCAAUCUUUUAAACCUGCAUCGUGAUAGGGAUAGAUUAUUGCAAUUAUUAAUCUUGAACGAGGAAUUCCUAGUAAACGCAAAUCAUCAAUUUGCAUUGAUUACGUCCCUGCCCUUUGUACACACCGCCCGUCGCACCUACCGAUUGAAUGGUCCGGUGAAAUCUUCGGAUUGAGACUUUGAUUUCUUCACGGAAAACGCUGUUUUAAGAAGUUGAUUAAACCUUACCAUUUAGAGGAAGGUGAAGUCGUAACA